rnacentral:misc_RNA from 1 species
GAUGAAGAACGUAGCGAAAUGCGAUAAGUAAUGUGAAUUGCAGAAUUCAGUGAAUCAUCGAAUCUUUGAACGCACAUUGCGCCCGCUAGUAUUCUGGCGGGCAUGCCUGUCCGAGCGUCAUUUCAACCCUCAAGCCCCCGGGCUUGGUGUUGGGGAUCGGCGAGCCUCUGCGCCCGCCGUCCCCUAAAUCUAGUGGCGGUCUCGCUGUAGCUUCCUCUGCGUAGUAGCACACCUCGCACUGGGAAACAGCGCGGCCACGCCGUUAAACCCCCAACUUCUGAACGUUUGACCUCGGAUCAGGUAGGAAUACCCGCUGAACUUAAGCAUAUCAAUAAGCGGAGGA